GGGAAUGUGCGUGGGAGAAAAGCUCAUAUUUGAAACAAAGAAACUCAAAUAUGAAAAAAUGUUUAGAUCUGAACAAAAAAAAUUAGAUCUUGCGCAUGUUGGUUCCGUUGUUGCUUCAUCUGGCAGCUGAGGGACGUGCUGUAGCUCUUCAUGGUUACGCUCAUCGUUGGUAACGAAGAAGCUGCAGAGGAUGGAUUGAACUUUGCGAUAGUCAUAGUAGGUGCGACAGACGACGCGGAGGGGGUGUAAUAGACGAAGGCGAUGGCGCGAACGGAGUUUGACGGAGGUGGCAACGCAGGUUCAGAUUUGAAGGAUGAUUAGGAUUGCUUUGGACGCACCACUUCUUGACUCUUUUGUUUAUAAUUUUUACGCUUAAUGUUUCGUGUGCGUAGAAGGUUAAGAGCACGGCUUCGAAUCCGGCCUAGGGUUUCUAGUCGGCGACGGGGGGAGAGGUUGUUUUCACCAGCACCAGAGGAGAGAGAAGAUAUGGGAGUAGAUUUCUGGUUUGGAGAGGAGGGAGGUGGCAAUGGUGAUGGAGAAAGAGGGGACGAUAGAAUAGAUUGUAGAUUGUAGUUUGGAUUUUUUUUUCCAAGGAACCUGUGGCGGAGGCAGUGAUGAUGAUUUCAUCGCUUGGCAUCGUGUGUUUGAGAGAGACUGAGAAAGAUGGUGUUUUCUUUUCUAUCAAGGGAGA
rnacentral:lncRNA from 1 species